rnacentral:rRNA from 1 species
GUGGGGAAUAUUGCACAAUGGGCGAAAGCCUGAUGCAGCAACGCCGCGUGAGGGACGACGGCCUUCGGGUUGUAAACCUCUUUUAGUAGGGAAGAAGCGAAAGUGACGGUACCUGCAGAAAAAGCACCGGCUAACUACGUGCCAGCAGCCGCGGUAAUACGUAGGGUGCAAGCGUUAUCCGGAAUUAUUGGGCGUAAAGAGCUCGUAGGCGGUCUGUCGCGUCUGCUGUGAAAACUGGAGGCUCAACCUCCAGCCUGCAGUGGGUACGGGCAGACUAGAGUGCGGUAGGGGAGAUUGGAAUUCCUGGUGUAGCGGUGGAAUGCGCAGAUAUCAGGAGGAACACCGAUGGCGAAGGCAGAUCUCUGGGCCGUAACUGACGCUGAGGAGCGAAAGCGUGGGGAGCGAACAGGAUUAGAAACCCUAGUAGUCC